AUAUAUAUCAAAAAGACUAGAGUGGUCCUAUCUUUCCAAAACAAAAGACUUAAACAGCAGAGCAUUUUUAAGUUUCUAAAACAAUUAAACAUCCAUGAAAGUAAUCUAGUGCUGCAUACUACAUGCUAAAUCAGUAUGUGUGACAUACUGUGUACCAAAUUAACAUUUAGGUACGCCAUUACCAGCAGACUGUUGAUAAUGAAGUACACUUUAGCAAUACAUCUUCUCUGCAGCACAUGACCGUAUCGAUCACAACAUUACCAGUCUGAGCUGCCCUUAAAUAAUUUUUUUUUUAAUCACAAAUGUAAAUCAACUUUACCUCUUCCACUCAACGUAAUAUAUUUUAGUUUAAAGUUGUUGUUUUUUUCAGUAUUGAAGUGUUUAUGUGAGCUCUUGAUGCACCUUAACAUCACUUGCCAUCAUUCAUGAUUAUUUUAUCUAACAGGUAAUUAUCAAACUUUCUAGCUGGCAGUUGACUAUUGGACAGUCUGUAGACAUGCAAUGCGUUUUGAGGUGUUAUAAUAUGUCAAGUAAGCUCACGUCUCAUACUCAUAAAUUCUUGUUAAUCUAGUUAACAUCUGGGAAUUACACACACACACACACACACACACACAAAUCUACACAAUAUCCAGUCGGAUUGCUCAUAACUCAAGCUGGCAUCAUUACCAGAAUUGCAACAUUAUACUUCCUGCUAACAUCACUCAAAGCAUCAUUGGAACAGUGGUUCCAAAGCUCAUAGGUGAUUAACCCUCAUUGAAGUACUAAGUAGAAGUUACUUGUGUAGAUGUUGAACUAUCAGUAUAUUUUUUGACAGUGUAACAGGGCAACACCCUUCAAGAAUACUGUGAUCUUUUCCUUGAGUAGAGUACCACACUGAAAAUAAAAACUAACUAAAUCAAAAUUGAUGGUUGUUGGUUUUAGGCUGAAGUGGUUUGUAGGGCAAACUUGCAUACCAGACACAAUAAAAAGACUUAUUAUGCUCUUGAAAGAAACGAAAUGGACAUACAUAGUUCUUCUUUGAGGAAAAAACGUUGCAGUAGUACUGAACUCUAUUGCUUCCUCUCCUCUCUCCUCUCAGUGCCUCUUCUUACCGCUCAUAUUUUGUCACUUUUCCUGUUAAAACCUGAAUGUCCUGUCCUGCCAGUGACCAGCCACUCGGUGAAAACACAGCACAUCCUGACUGGUGUUUUCCUUCUGUAGCUUGAACAUAGAAGUUGUCUUGUACCUGUGAAGGACCGUGAGUUUAUGGUUCUCCCUGAUCACCAGGGAACUACACUGUCCAGCCAAUGCCAUGAAUCAAGCCCUGGAGGCUGUCAAGAUGUAUCUGUCUGCACUGUGAUCCAUUUUCUAACCAAGUCCUCAGUCCUGAUUGGCCAAAAUAAUCUAUGUCUCUGAGUGUGAUGCCAGAAUUACCCUUUUAGGCCUCAUGUGGCCUUGUCUAAAAGGGCACUGCCCAAAGUCUGCACAACUGACGCUGAAAACAACCUCUUCUCUACAAGCUCUGUGGUGCAGCUCCCAGCUCUGUUUGGGGUUUUUGCAGUAACUCCCCUGAUGUGUCAGAACGAAGUCCAGCUUCACAUGGCUUUGUAACAGGGAAACCGAAAACCCAGAGGUUUGCAACAGAUCUCAACGUUGUUGUCAUGAACUUGUCUCGUCUGCAGUUUCUAAACAAAUGAGUCUACUUCAGGGUGCUAAGAUGCCUUUUUAUAAUCUGUAUUUAACUCUAUCACACAACUCAUUCAACAUAUUUGUUCUCACAAUGACAUACACAUUGACUUGUAAUGCAUGUCCACAUUUUAACAUCGUAACCUGUAUUUACAAUUAAAACCUAUGUUUGGUUUUCUUUUGAACCUCCACAGUUACCACCCACACAAACACAUGCACACACAAAAUAUAUACAUACUCAGUGAUGUACAUGCUGUUUUAUUAGGCUGGCACCCUCCAAGUAAUUGAUAUAUAAAACAAACAAAAAAAAGUAAAGGUAGAAACCUGCUGAGUAGUUCACUACCAGGCUCUCACUGUUUGUUUCUUGCCACAGGAGCCUCGACCAGUCGGAGGAGGCUGAGAGCCCACACCAUUAAACCAGGGUGAAAAUGAAGAUUGAUGUCUAUUAAAUGCCAGAGCUGCAGGAGACACCAGUGACAGAACUGUGCUAACAGCAGGAUGACCUCCAUAGCUGCAGGUGGUGGAGCAGGUGGUGGAACAGAUGCAGCACCAAGAGGCAUCCAGCAAGAAGACAAGCAGUCUGCAGUCCAGAGGAGGGAUGCACUGUUUUGUUUUUUUUUAUUUACGCUGUAAAGUUUUAAUAAUAAAUAAUGUGAACCUGA